UUAGAUUGCUUGGUUUUGCAGCGAUUUAUCGUUUUUACGAUUACCCCGACAGUUUGCGCUUGCGGCUUAGUCAGAUAUUCGUAUUGCCUCCUUACCAGCGCAAAGGUUACGGCCGUCAUCUUCUAGAGGUGAUUUUUCCAAAUUAGAACCCCUCAAUGCUCUUGAAAAUGAUGUACAUGUGCCUAAAACCAAGGGUAAGGAGCAUCGACGCAAAUCAAAAGUUCAAGAUGACAAGAAUGGAACAAUCUCACUUCCAGUGCCGGUCAAACGAAGAAGGAUGUGUGUAGUUGAUAAAAAAUGCAGUUGGGAGGUUGUGUGCCCCGGCACAGGCUAUGCUUGAAAUGCUUGGAGCCAAACAGCACAGAAGAAAAUGUUCAAUUCGGUUCUCAUUGGUUGCCUCAGAA